CACGUAGGGCGCAAGCGUUGUCCGGAAUUAUUGGGCGUAAAGAGCUCGUAGGCGGUCUGUUGCGUCCGCUGUGAAAACCCGGGGCUUAACCCCUGGCUUGCAGUGGAUACGGACAGACUAGAGGUAGGUAGGGGAGAAUGGAAUUCCCGGUGUAGCGGUGAAAUGCGCAGAUAUCGGGAGGAACACCCGUGGCGAAGGCGGCUCUCUGGGACGGUACUGACGCUGAGACGCGAAAGCGUGGGGAGCGAACAGG
rnacentral:rRNA from 1 species